UGGGGAAUAUUGCACAAUGGGCGAAAGCCUGAUGCAGCAACGCCGCGUGAGUGAUGAAGGUCUUCGGAUUGUAAAGCUCUGUCUUUUGGGACGAUAAUGACGGUACCAAAGGAGGAAGCCACGGCUAACUACGUGCCAGCAGCCGCGGUAAUACGUAGGUGGCGAGCGUUGUCCGGAUUUACUGGGCGUAAAGGGUGCGUAGGCGGAUGUUUAAGUGAGAUGUGAAAUACCCGGGCUUAACUUGGGUGCUGCAUUUCAAACUGGAUAUCUAGAGUGCAGGAGAGGAGAAUGGAAUUCCUAGUGUAGCGGUGAAAUGCGUAGAGAUUAGGAAGAACACCAGUGGCGAAGGCGAUUCUCUGGACUGUAACUGACGCUGAGGCACGAAAGCGUGGGUAGCAAACAGGAUUAGAUACCCUGGUAGUCCACGCCGUAAACGAUGAGUACUAGGUGUAGGAGGUAUCGACCCCCUUCUGUG
rnacentral:rRNA from 1 species